CCAGACCAUUAUAGAAGUCCUCACUAAACAUAGUUCGUGCCAGAGGCAAGAAAUAAGUGAAAAAUAUACGAAUAUAUAUGGACGAAAUUUAAUCGAUGACAUAAAAGCUGUUCUAGGAGGACAUUUCGAAGAUGUCUGCGUAGCGCUACUCAAACCUAUCGACGAAGUUUUGGUGGAUCAUUUAUACGACGCUUGCAAGAAAAAAGAUAAAUACUGCGUCUUUCAUGUGCUUUGCUGUCACGAUUCUGAGGAAUUGGAAAGUCUGAAAGCUCUUUUUAUCAUCAAAUACAACGUUGAACCGGAAACAUAUAUUUGCGAAUCGUUCACUGGAGAUAUAAGGAGGCUUUUGGAAAUGUUGGUUGCAAGAGCCGAUAAAGAAGUUAACGAAGAUUUGGCAGAAAUUGAGG